rnacentral:rRNA from 1 species
UACGGAGGGUGCGAGCGUUGUCCGGAAUCAUUGGGCGUAAAGGGCGCGUAGGUGGCCCGGUCAGUUCGUGGUGAAAGCGCGGGGCUCAACCCCGCGUCGGCCAUGGAUACUGCUGGGCUCGAGCACUGUAGAGGCAGGCGGAAUUCCGGGUGUAGCGGUGGAAUGCGUAGAGAUCCGGAAGAACACCGGUGGCGAAGGCGGCCUGCUGGGCAGUAGCUGACACUGAGGCGCGACAGCGUGGGGAGCAAACAGGAUUAGAAACCCCCAGUAGUCC